rnacentral:rRNA from 1 species
CGAACGCUGGCAGCGUGGAUAGGCAUGCAAGUCGAACGGGAUCCGGAAGGUAGCAAUAUCGGCCGGUGAGAGUGGCGGAAGGGCGAGGAACACGUGGGCAACCUGUCUCUGAGGUGGGGAAAAACCGUUGGAAACGACGGCUAAUACCGAAUGUAGCGCCCGCUCGCAUGAGCGGAGCGCCAAAGGGGGGCGAAAGCUCCCCCUCUCCGAGGGGCCCGCGCACCAUCAGCUUGUUGGCGGGGUAACGGCCCACCAAGGCUCACGGUUAGCUGGUCUGAGAGGAUGGCCAGCCGCACUGGGACUGAGAUACUGCCCAGACUCCUACGGGAGGCUGCAGUCGAGGAUCAUUUGCAAUGGGCGAAAGCCUGACAAUGCGACGCUGCGUGGAGGAUGAAGGCCCUCGGGUUGUAAACUCCUGUCAUGGGGGAAAAGGAAAAGGGACCCAACACGUCCCCGAUUUGAUGGUACCCCAAGAGGAAGCGACGGCUAACUCUGUGCCAGCAGCGGC